rnacentral:rRNA from 1 species
UCAGAUUGAACGCUGGCGGAAUGCUUUACACAUGCAAGUCGAGCGGCAGCGCGGGGCAACCUGGCGGCGAGCGGCGAACGGGUGAGUAAUGCAUCGGAACAUGUCCAUGUCGUGGGGGAUAGCCCGGCGAAAGCCGGAUUAAUACCGCAUACGUCCGAGAGGAGAAAGUGGGGGACCGCAAGGCCUCACGCGAUUGGGUUGGCCGAUGUCCGAUUAGCUAGUUGGCGGGGUAAAGGCCCACCAAGGCGAUGAUCGGUAGCUGGUCUGAGAGGAUGAUCAGCCACACUGGGACUGAGACACGGCCCAGACUCCUACGGGAGGCAGCAGUGGGGAAUUUUGGACAAUGGGGGCAACCCUGAUCCAGCCAUUCCGCAUGAGUGAAGAAGGCCUUCGGGUUGUAAAGCUCUUUUGUCCGGAACGAAAUGGCGCGCGUGAACAUCGCGCGCUUCUGACGGUACCGGAAGAAUAAGCACCGGCUAACUACGUGCCAGCAGCCGCGGUAAUACGUAGGGUGCGAGCGUUAAUCGGAAUUACUGGGCGUAAAGCGUGCGCAGGCGGUUUUGUAAGCCAGAUGUGAAAUCCCCGGGCUUAACCUGGGAA